rnacentral:rRNA from 1 species
AUUGAACGCUGGCGGCAGGCCUAACACAUGCAAGUCGAGCGGAUGAAGGGAGCUUGCUCCUGGAUUCAGCGGCGGACGGGUGAGUAAUGCCUAGGAAUCUGCCUGGUAGUGGGGGAUAACGUCCGGAAACGGGCGCUAAUACCGCAUACGUCCUGAGGGAGAAAGUGGGGGAUCUUCGGACCUCACGCUAUCAGAUGAGCCUAGGUCGGAUUAGCUAGUUGGCGGGGUAAAGGCCUACCAAGGCGACGAUCCGUAACUGGUCUGAGAGGAUGAUCAGUCACACUGGAACUGAGACACGGUCCAGACUCCUACGGGAGGCAGCAGUGGGGAAUAUUGGACAAUGGGCGAAAGCCUGAUCCAGCCAUGCCGCGUGUGUGAAGAAGGUCUUCGGAUUGUAAAGCACUUUAAGUUGGGAGGAAGGGCAGUAAGUUAAUACCUUGCUGUUUUGACGUUACCAACAGAAUAAGCACCGGCUAACUUCGU